ACGUAGGUGGCGAGCGUUGUCCGGAAUUAUUGGGCGUAAAGCGCGCGCAGGUGGGAUCUUAAGUCUGUUGUCAAAGUGCGGAGCUUAACUCCGGGAUGGGAUAGAAACUGGGAUUCUUGAGUACCGGAGAGGAAAGCGGAAUUCCCCGUGUAGCGGUGAAAUGCGUAGAUAUGGGGAGGAAAACCAGUGGCGAAGGCGGCUUUCUGGACGGUGUCUGACACUGAGGCGCGAAAGCCAGGGGAGCGAACAG
rnacentral:rRNA from 1 species